GCAAGAUAGUUUGAUCAUGGCUCAGAUUGAACGCUGGCGGCAGGCCUAACACAUGCAAGUCGAACGGAGUUAUAUUGUAGCUUGCUAUGGUAUAACUUAGUGGCAGACGGGUGAGUAAUGUAUAGGAAUCUACCUAGUAGUACGGAAUAAUUGUUGGAAACGGCAACUAAUACCGUAUACGCCCUACGGGGGAAAAAUUUAUUGCUAUUAGAUGAGCCUAUAUUAGAUUAGCUAGUUGGUGGAGUAAUAGCCUACCAAGGCAAUGAUCUAUAGCUGAUCUGAGAGGAUGAUCAGCCACACUGGAACUGAGAUACGGUCCAGACUCCUACGGGAGGCAGCAGUGGGGAAUAUUGGACAAUGGGCGAAAGCCUGAUCCAGCCAUGCCGCAUGAGUGAAGAAGGCCUUUGGGUUGUAAAGCUCUUUUAGUGAGGAAGAUAAUGACGGUACUCACAGAAGAAGUCCUGGCUAACUCCGUGCCAGCAGCCGCGGUAAUACGGAGAGGGCUAGCGUUAUUCGGAAUUAUUGGGCGUAAAGGGCGCGUAGGCUGGUUAAUAAGUUAAAAGUGAAAUCCCGAGGCUUAACCUUGGAAUUGCUUUUAAAACUAUUAAUCUAGAGAUUGAAAGAGGAUAGAGGAAUUCCUGAUGUAGAGGUAAAAUUCGUAAAUAUUAGGAGGAACACCAGUGGCGAAGGCGUCUAUCUGGUUCAAAUCUGACGCUGAAGCGCGAAGGCGUGGGGAGCAAACAGGAUUAGAUACCCUGGUAGUCCACGCUGUAAACGAUGAAUGUUAAGUAUGGGAAGUUUACUUUCUGUAUCACAGCUAACGCAUUAAACAUUCCGCCUGGGGACUACGGUCGCAAGAUUAAAACUCAAAGGAAUUGACGGGGACCCGCACAAGCGGUGGAGCAUGUGGUUUAAUUCGAUGCAACGCGAAGAAC
rnacentral:rRNA from 1 species